rnacentral:SRP_RNA from 1 species
GCUGGGCAUGGUGGUGCAUGCCUGUAAUCCUAGCUACCUGAGAGGCUGAGGCAGGAGAAUCACUUGAACCCAGGAGGCGGAGACUGCAGUGAGUGGAGAUUGUGCCACUGCACUCCAGCUUGGGUGACAGAGUGAGACUCUGUCUCAA